CUGUCCUAAAAGACUUGGCAGCAUUCGAAGCACAUAAAUUCAAAUCAUUGGAACCUAAGCCGAAGUAUUACGUCUUGCACCGAAAAGAAGCAGAGCCCGAUUUUAUGCAGAAUUUCUUGAGAGAAGUUGGCCCUUGUGAUACAUUGUUUUUCUUAUCAGUCGGUGAUGAUAAAGCACAAGGUAGUCUCGUGCUCUCCGGAUCUGAAACCAUCAUAUCCGAAAUUGCAGAAAAGGUGCUCGCACUACUUAAUGCUAAAGGUGUGGCUAAGAAAAACGUACUUAACGCCAAAGCAAGUAAUAUGAAAGGAAAAGCUCAAGUUAUAAAAUUGUUAAAGGACUACUUUCACUGAACUUAAAAAUGUUUUAUUAUAGCAACAAUGUACAUGUCGUAGGUCUUGAAUAAAUUAUUUAAACAUU